rnacentral:rRNA from 1 species
AUUGAACGCUGGCGGCAGGCCUAACACAUGCAAGUCGAACGAGUGGCGGACGGGUGAGUAAUGUCUGGGAAACUGCCUGAUGGAGGGGGAUAACUACUGGAAACGGUAGCUAAUACCGCAUACCAUCGGAUGUGCCCAGAUGGGAUUAGCUAGUAGGUGGGGUAAAGGCUCACCUAGGCGACGAUCCCUAGCUGGUCUGAGAGGAUGACCAGCGAAACUGGAACUGAGACACGGUCCAGACUCCGACGGGAGGAAGCAGUGGGGAAUAUUGCGCAAUGGGCGCAAGCCUGAUGCAGCCAUGCCGGGUGUAUGAAGAAGGCCUUCGGGUUGUAAAGUUCUGUCAGCGGGGAGGCGUUACCCGCAGAAGAAGCACCGGCUAACUCCGUGCCAGCAGCCGCGGUAAUUC